CUUAUAGGUGGGAUACGAAAGCUCACCACCAAGAUUUGAGACGAAAACUCAGUGUCCUGUUAAUCGUUUUUUAGGUAUAUAAUUGCAUAUGAAUGCUUUCAAUUAAUUCAUAUUAUUAAUUUUUUUUCUAAAUAAUAUAAUUUAGGGUCCAAACAUGAAAUUAUUUUAGCUUAUGUUUAGCGCUGUUAUGGUCUAUGUAAAUAUUGGAGCUACUGAAAAAUUUAAUAUAUAAUGUAUCAUCAGAAGUCCUUUAUGAAGUUUAUAAUAUUAAAAGCUUUUCCGGAACAUCAAAUAUGAAUUAUUCAGCCUAAUUUCGAUUCCGAUACAUGGAUGUCUCAAAGUUGUUAAAAGGCAGUUAGUUGUUGACUCAUUAUCGUAAAGUAAGAUAAUGUUUAAUAUUUAAAUUAAAUUUUUUAUAAUCUUUUUUUAUAUAAUGCCAAAUUUCUUAAAGUAUGGACGGGAAGAAACAUAUUGAAGAUCAAAAAAG